rfam:Schistosoma rodhaini strain Burundi genome assembly, scaffold: SROB_scaffold0000034
AUCUAGCGGACGAGUUCCAAAUAGGACGAAACGCGCUUCUUGGAU